CUUCAUUUGCGGCAUUUGAACUGGUGGCCAUGCACGGCGAAAACACAUAUGUAGACGAGAGUUCUCUUCAUAUAAAUGUACAGAUUUCAGCAAAGGGAAGGCGCGUUGUGAAGGCUGAUCUUUUACAAUAUAAUCGUGAAAUGUAUAGAACCAGAUGGCACACGGAUGACAGGGAUGACCAAAUGUACCAGACUAACCACCCUUACCAUAGAUCAAACAAUCAU